rnacentral:misc_RNA from 1 species
CUGUUGCCGCGCAAGGCAAUUUAGUUCAUAUAUUUUUUUAUAGUAGUACCUAAUUGUAGAAUAAUUGUAGUAUAUCUAAUAUUAAUUAAUUAGUUGUUAUCUGUAGUUUGCAUUAUUUCUUGUAAAAUUAUUAUCUGUAUUCCUUUGUAGAAUUUCAUUGUCUUUUGCAUAAUCUUGUAUUAUCUAUAACUUUUUCCGGCCCUUCCUAAUUUAACUUCUCACGCUGUCACAUCGCAUUAAAGGCAAAAAUUAAAAUUUAAAAGUAUAUUGAGUUUUAAUUAUCAAAUUAAGGCUCCAUUAUGUAUCAAAUACAACAUCUUUUAAU